GUUUUCAAGAAACUUGUAUUGAUGAUGAUGGGUUGUCUAGGAUGUGCUGGUCAGCCCACAGAGCCUUCUACUGAGAAAACUGAAUCUAAAUCACUUAUAAAUGAAUCUGUUGUUGUCACUUCACCUAGGGUUAAACUUGGUGAUGGUAGAUAUCUUGCUUAUAGAGAAAGAGGGGUACCCAAAAACAUAUCCAAAUUCAGAAUCAUCAUUGUUCAUGGCUUUGGCAGUUCUA
rnacentral:misc_RNA from 1 species